CCUCAAAUGUCUUUGAAAUUGUUAUCGAUAUAAUGGUUAUGAUAGAGUUCUCGCGGGAUUAAUGAGAGUGUUUAAGGGAAAUAAAUGCUAAAAUUUGAUUUUUAGAGGGACAAUUAUCGCUGCAAGCCCGUCGUCGCCGCCCUCGUCGACGAGUACGAGAACCUCCGGAUACCCCUCGCCGCCACCCUCCAGGAGGAGCUUGCCCGCGCCGCCGCCUCCCUUCCUCCACUCGCCCCCCACGAAGCAACCGUUGUUGCCCCCGCCCCGGCCGCCGCCGACGACGACAGCAAGGAGGACCCCUAUCGGGCGGUCGAGGACAUGUUGACCUUGCUCUACUUCGGCUGCCUGUUCGACGUCGAGCCGCAGAGCGGGUUGCGGCGACGGCGCUGGUCCAAACCGAAGAUGCCCUCGUUCGAGCCAGGUAUCAGCACAAGCUAGCACAUGCAUUAGAGAUUCAAAUUUACCAAAAUUGAUAGAAAAAGAGGACUUUUUUGAGACAUGUUCUCUCUCCACCCUGCUGCAGCAGCUGAUACCUCAAGGAUAAGGUUUGGAAAUUCCCAUACAAGACAUCAACCUUAAGAUUGUCUUGGGAGGAUGAACAACCUAGAAGUUCAAACAAAGGAACUUCGCCCUGGAUCAUGAAGUUAUCCUUGUUGAUGAACCUCCGAAAAUGGAUGAACCUGACACAGCAAGCUCUCCUGCAGAUCCUAACCAACAGGAGCAGCAAAAACCACAAGUAGACUCGGACGAACUCAACUAGAGGGACAUGGACAAGAAGAAGAACAAUAUAUCCUCCGUGAACAAUAUAUUACAAUAGAAGAGGAGGUGGCUGGGGUGGUUCUUCCUCCUGCACUAACAAUGGAGGUCAUGUCGAGAUGGAUUCAAGUGCCAAGGCUUCAAAUCCUAGCCUUUUAUCAAGUCAUUUAAAGCAGUUGUUGUUGUUGCAUCAUUAAAUGUUGCUGACUUCCAACUAUUCAAUCGCUGUUGUGUCUGGGGAUGGUGAUCAUUAUCUAUUAGAUGCAUCUGUUUGAACUAUGGAUCGUAGAUGAUGAGAAAACAGACCUGUGCUUAAUUUGAUGUACUGCUCUGAAAUCAUGCAACAAAAAGAAGGAAACUGCUCCUCUCCUGGAAUCAUGCAUCACGCUUUUCCCCAGAAACCAGUCAAGACCAAACGUAUGGACUGAAACUGUUCAAAGACAAAAAAGAAAGAUCGAGAAAAAGAAAGCUCAG